rnacentral:rRNA from 1 species
CCUACGGGUGGCUGCAGUGGGGAAUAUUGGACAAUGGGGGGAACCCUGAUCCAGCCAUGCCGCGUGUGUGAAGAAGGCCCUCGGGUUGUAAAGCACUUUCAGUGAGGAAGAACGCCUGGUGGUUAAUACCCAUCAGGAAAGACAUCACUCACAGAAGAAGCACCGGCUAACUCCGUGCCAGCAGCCGCGGUAAUACGGAGGGUGCGAGCGUUAAUCGGAAUUACUGGUCGUAAAGCGCGCGUAGGUGGCUUGAUAAGCCGGUUGUGAAAGCCCCGGGCUCAACCUGGGAACGGCAUCCGGAACUGUCAAGCUAGAGUGCAGGAGAGGAAGGUAGAAUUCCCGGUGUAGCGGUGAAAUGCGUAGAGAUCGGGAGGAAUACCAGUGGCGAAGGCGGCCUUCUGGACUGACACUGACACUGAGGUGCGAAAGCGUGGGUAGCAAACAGGAUUAGAUACCCCUGUAGUC